rnacentral:rRNA from 1 species
CCUACGGGAGGCAGCAGUGAGGAAUAUUGGUCAAUGGGCGUAAGCCUGAACCAGCCAAGUCGCGUGAGGGCUGAAGGUUCUAUGGAUCGUAAACCUCUUUUAUAAGGGAAUAAAGUGUGGGACGUGUCCUAUUUUGUAUGUACCUUAUGAAUAAGGAUCUGCUAACUCCGUGCCAGCAGCCGCGGUAAUACGGGGGGUCCGAGCGUUAUCCGGAUUUAUUGGGUUUACAGGGUGCGUAGGCGGCCUUUUAAGUAAGCGGUGAAAGUCUGUGGCUCAACCAUAGAAUUGCCGUUGAAACUGGGGGGCGUGAGUAUGUUUGAGAAAGGGGGAAUGCGUGGUGGAGCGGUGAAAUGCUUAGAUAUCACGCAGAACCCCGAUUGCGAAGGCAGCCUGCCAAGCCAUGACUGACGCUGAUGCACGAAAGCGUGGGGAUCAAACAGGAUUAGAUACCCCAGUAGUC